rnacentral:rRNA from 1 species
UACAGAGACUGCAAGCGUUGUUCGGAUUCAUUGGGCGUAAAGGGUGCGCAGGCGGUUCGUUAAGUCGGAUGUGAAAUCUCACAGCCUAACUGUGAUAGGUCAUUCGAAACUGGCGGACUUGAGGGCUGGAGAGGAGACUGGAAUAGUCGGUGUAGCGGUGAAAUGCGUAGAGAUCGAGAGGAACACCAGUGGCGAAGGCGAGUCCCUGGACAACUCCUGACGCUGAGGCACGAAAGCUAGGGGAGCAAACAGG